AUGUAAGUUGAAAUACAUUUACUCCCUAGCGUCCAGCAUCCCUGCUACGCUACAAAUGCAAAGCAUUAUGACAUAGAAAGCAACCUGGUUAGGAAUAUAAAGGCUGUCUUGCAAAGGGAGAACAUUGCAAAUACGUUAGGUAGCUGCUUUCAAAGCCCUUCCUAAGAAAGAACAAGUGUGCACUCAGAUGAUCAAGUAUUUUCCCAUUAAAACCUUAUAAUUUAGAAACUUUCAAGGAUGUUAUUUUAUACAGGCUGGGGGAUUAAUACUGGUGGAACAUACACAUUAAAUACUGCAGUCUUUACUUCAAAUGUUUUCCACCUGAUUUGAUUUACAAGAAUUCCAGUGUUUUAUUAAUCUUACUAUCAAGAGGACUGAAAAGCCAACAGAAAGUAGUUUCAGAAAUGAGGAAAUGGUAAAACACCAGUUCUCCGGAGUGUUUUAAAUGGCAAAAGAGAACAUCAUAUGCAUCAGAAGAAAUACAACAUGACAAGAAGCAAACUUUUAAAUAUAAAAAGUUCUUGAGAAGAGCUUAAAAUAUGGAGAGAUGCAAACUUAGCCUUAAAACUUGGGAUGUAUUUUAAAAAUGAGGACCUGUUUUGCAAGUAUCCUGAAUAAUUUUAAUUUUGGAAAAUAGUGAAAUGAAUCUCAUCGUGGCAAGUGAUUUAGCAGAAAGAAGGCAAUCUCCUAAAUCAUCUUUGGUUUGUCUCCACUUUUUUCUUUGCUUUGCUUAAGGUUUUUCUUCUUCUAACAGAACCAUGAUAUGUCAUUUCAUCAAGACAAAUUUUGCCAGGUUCUCUUUUCUUUACUUCAAUCCUAGCAUUCAAAGUGUAGCAAAUUUUGCUAGUGAGAUCAUCUGGUGAUUUCUUCCUUCACUAAAUCAUGAAAACCUAUAGUUUGUCUUCUUAAUAGGAUAUAGUUUCUGGAAAUUUUAAUCAGCUUUUAAUCAUUUUUUUUAAAUGUCCACAGAAAAAAAUGUAUGGAUUGGGAUUACAGUUCCUUGUAUACUCUUGCACAUGUGGCAGAAAAUUUCAAGUGGUCAGCAGAAUGAAAGCUCAGAUGAAAUUUGUUGAAGUUACAGAAGUCGCUAAUGUACACGGACUUGGCAAGCAUGGCUGCUUAAUGGAUUCACUAAAUAUUCCUUAUGCAUCUACUGACUCUGCUGUAUGACCUUGGGUAUCACACUUGUAUCAAGACUGUUCUGAAUGUCUUCUGCAGUAUCUGUAUAGUUCUAUGCUUUAUACAAUCUCUGCUACCGUCUCAAUCUUCAAGGUAAGUGUUAGGCCAAUGUAUGUUUCAAUUGGACCAGCAAGCAUUGUUGGAAAAGUCAGAUAAAGUUGUGGAUUUCAGGAAUACUCUCUGAGCAAAUCUGAUGAUAUUUAAAACAACUUUACAUAGUACAGCUUUUUUGACAUGUCUUUCAUGGUUGCUGGUUAUACAGGAAUAGACAAGUUAGUCUGCUGUUUUUUCUAUACACAAUUGUUUGAUGGUUUUGCGGUUGACCAUAGAACCUGGGAAAAUGAUAAUAAGAUUGGAGUAGACCAGAGAGAGUCUAAAGAGAGUUAUUGAAUUUGUGGUGAAAGAUGCUAGGAUUGAGCCCACUCUUCCAGUACAGAUGUCAUACAUAUAGAACAGUGCUUGAUAAAACAAACACCUCAAAUAUUACUCUUUCAGGGAAAAAAAAAAAAUCAAUGUGCUGAAGAACACUUGUAACACCCACCUCAGCAAUGUGAAGAGGAACUCUUCCCAGUAAGAACACACUUCUGCAGAAACAGAUCACUGAAUUCUUUUUUCUUAAUGUAACG
ensembl:lncRNA